rnacentral:rRNA from 1 species
GAUGAACGCUGGCGGCGUGCCUAAUACAUGCAAGUCGAGCGAAGCGGGGACGGGUGAGUAACACGUGGAUAACCUCCUAUAAGACUGGGAUAACCUAGGGAAACCGGUGCUUAACCGGAUACUGAUCGAUGGAUCCGCGUGGCAUUAGCUAGUUGGUAAGGUAACGGCUUACCAAGGCAACGAUGCAUAGCCGACCUGCGAGGGUGAUCAGCCACACUGGAACUGAGACACGGUCCAGACUCCUACGGGAGGCAGCAGUAGGGAAUCGUCCGCAAUGGGCGAAAGCCUGACGGAGCAACGCCGCGUGAGUGAUGAAGGUCUUCGGGUCGUAAAACUCUUUUAUUAGGGAAGCGUUACCUAAUCAGAAAGCCACGGCUAACUACGUGCCAGCAGCCGCGGUAAUAC